AUUGAACGCUGGCGGCAGGCCUAACACAUGCAAGUCGAGCGGAUGACGGGAGCUUGCUCCCUGAUUCAGCGGCGGACGGGUGAGUAAUGCCUAGGAAUCUGCCUGGUAGUGGGGGACAACGUUUCGAAAGGAACGCUAAUACCGCAUACGUCCUACGGGAGAAAGCAGGGGACCUUCGGGCCUUGCGCUAUCAGAUGAGCCUAGGUCGGAUUAGCUUGUUGGUGAGGGAAUGGCUCACCAAGGCGACGAUCCGUAACUGGUCUGAGAGGAUGAUCAGUCACACUGGAACUGAGACACGGUCCAGACUCCUACGGGAGGCAGCAGUGGGGAAUAUUGGACAAUGGGCGAAAGCCUGAUCCAGCCAUGCCGCGUGUGUGAAGAAGGUCUUCGGAUUGUAAAGCACUUUAAGUUGGGAGGAAGGGUUGUAGAUUAAUACUCUGCAAUUUUGACGUUACCGACAGAAUAAGCACCGGCUAACUCUGUGCCAGCCGCCGCUGUAACAC
rnacentral:rRNA from 1 species